rnacentral:rRNA from 1 species
CCUACGGGUGGCAGCAGUGAGGAAUAUUGGUCAAUGGGCGGAAGCCUGAACCAGCCAAGUAGCGUGCAGGAUGACUGCCCUACGGGUUGUAAACUGCUUUUAUACAGGAAUAAAGCGCGUUACGUGUGCGUUUUUGCAUGUACUUUAUGAAUAAGGAUCGGCUAACUCCGUGCCAGCAGCCGCGGUAAUACGGAGGGUCCGAGCGUUAUCCGGAUUUAUUGGGUUUAAAGGGAGCGUAGAUGGUUUGUUAAGUCAGUUGUGAAAUUUUGGGGCUCAACCGUAACAUUGCAGUGGGUACUGGCGGUCUUGAGUACAGAUGAGGUAGGCAGAAUUCGUGGUGUAGCGGUGAAAUGCUUAGAUAUCACGAAGAACUCCGAUUGCGAAGGCAGCUUACUAAACUGCCACUGACAUUGAUGCUCGAAAGUGUGGGUAUCAAACAGGAUUAGAUACCCCAGUAGUC